GUUGUCUCCUUCACUGCGGAGCUUCCAGAAGGGCUGGAUGUAGAACCAGGAGCCCUCGUUUCCAGCUGGGUCCAAAGAAACCCGCAUGGCGUUUUUCUCAAGCAGUGCAGGCAGACGUUUGUUCACCGUCAGCCUUCCAGAACUGCUUCUGAGCCGAAUAUCUGUUCAUGGGACACACCUUGAAGAGGUAAUCUGCAGAAGAGAUGAAUUCAGUCAUCACAUGUGCUUGGUUUGAGCUGGGUGGAUUGGCCAGGUCUCCUGCUUCGGGCUGCACCACGCACCUGUCAUCGACAAGCCUGCAGAGAAGAGCCAAACAGAGGAUCAAAACAUGACAAUUAUUCCUAAAUGCAUCAAUCAUAUG